GACGAACGCUGGCGGCGUGCUUAACACAUGCAAGUCGAACGGAAAGGCCCUGCUUUUGUGGGGUGCUCGAGUGGCGAACGGGUGAGUAACACGUGAGUAACCUGCCCUUGACUUUGGGAUAACUUCAGGAAACUGGGGCUAAUACCGGAUAGGAGCUCCUGCUGCAUGGUGGGGGUUGGAAAGUUUCGGCGGUUGGGGAUGGACUCGCGGCUUAUCAGCUUGUUGGUGGGGUAGUGGCUUACCAAGGCUUUGACGGGUAGCCGGCCUGAGAGGGUGACCGGGCACAUUGGGACUAAGAUACGGCCCAGACUCCUACGGGAGGCAGCAGUGGGGAAUAUUGUACAAUGGGCGGAAGCCUGAUGCAGCAACGCCGCGUGCGGGAUGACGGCCUUCGGGUUGUAAACCGCUUUCGCCUGUGACGAAGCGUGAGUGACGGUAAUGGGUAAAGAAGCACCGGCUAACUACGUG
rnacentral:rRNA from 1 species